UGGCUAACUCCUACGGGAGGCAGCAGCCGCGGUAAUACGUAGGGUGCAAGCGUUAAUCGGAAUUACUGGGCGUAAAGCGUGCGCAGGCGGUUGUGUAAGUCAGAUGUGAAAUCCCCGGGCUCAACCUGGGAAUUGCAUUUGAGACUGCACGGCUAGAGUGUGUCAGAGGGGGUAGAAUUCCACGUGUAGCAGUGAAAUGCGUAGAUAUGUGGAGGAAUACCGAUGGCGAAGGCAGCCCCCUGGGAUAACACUGACGCUCAUGCACGAAAGCGUGGGGAGCAAACAGGAUUAGAAACCCGGGUGUCCAGCUGG
rnacentral:rRNA from 1 species